GGGCUUGACAUCCCACGAACCUGCCCGAAAGGGUAGGGUGCCCGCAAGGGAGCGUGGAGACAGGUGGUACAUGGCUGUCGUCAGCUCGCGUCGUGAGAUGUUGGGUUAAGUCCCGCAACGAGCGCAACCCUCACCCCUUGUUGCCACCGGGUUAUGCCGAGCACUCUAGGGGAACUGCCAGCGUCAAGCUGGAGGAAGGCGGGGAUGACGUCAAGUCAUCAUGCCCCUUACGCCCUGGGCGACACACGUGCUACAAUGGCUGGUACAAAGGGAUGCAAGACCGCGAGGUGGAGCUAAUCCCAAAAAACCGGUCUAAGUUCAGAUUGCAGUCUGCAACUCGACUGCAUGAAGGAGGAAUCGCUAGUAAUCGCGCAUCAGCACGGCGCGGUGAAUACGUUCCCGGGCCUUGUACACACCGCCCGUCACACCACGAAAGCCGGCUGUACUCGAAGUCGCUGAGA
rnacentral:rRNA from 1 species